AACGAACGCUGGCGGCAGGCCUCAAACAUGCAAGUCUAGGGGACGUAGCAAUACGUCACCGGCGGACGGGUGCGUAACACGUGGGAAUGUACUGAGUGGUUCGGAACAACUGCGGGAAACUGCAGCUAAUACCGAAUGAGCCCGAAAGGGGAAAGAUUUAUCGCCAUUCAAUCAGCCCGCGUUCGAUUAGCUAGUUGGUGAGGUAACGGCUCACCAAGGCUCCGAUCGAUAGCUGUUCUGAGAGGAAGAUCAGCCACACUGGGACUGAGA
rnacentral:rRNA from 1 species